UUGGAGGAGAAGCUAGAGGCGUAGAGGUUUGCCCUGGAAAGGAGAGGAAUGAAAGUUAGCCGCAGCAAGACGGAGUAUCUGUGUGUGAAUGAGAGGGACCCAAGUGGAAGAGUGAGGUUACAGGGAGAAGAGAUCAAGAAGGUGGAGGAUUUUAAGUACUUAGGGUCAACAGUACAGAGCAAUGGAGAGUGUGGAAAAGAGGUGAAGAAGCGUGUACAGCAGUGAUCAUCAACUGGCGGCCCGCGGGCCGAAUACGGCCCGCCGAACCGUCCAAUCCGGCCCGCGACUGGAUUCCAAAAUUGUGAGGAUCGAAGACAAAAUAUCAUGUGGUCCACACUAUUAAAGCAGUCAGUCCAGUCAUUAUUAAAGGAUCUGUUUUCCACAUCAACUUUUCGUUUCGUGGCCUUAGAGAGUGCCAUUUUACCCGUGUUAAGAGGCCUUUUCCUGUCACUUCUGCGGUGUUUCUUUUUCAAGUGCUCUGUGAAUAAAGUUGACUUGAGAUGAGGCAAAAUAUCUCUAUCACUCCUAGUGGUUGACUGUGGUGCAGGUGAUAGGAGCACUGACUCAUAAAGGCUAAAAAUGCCUUCAGUUUUGUAAUGAAAUGGAAAAAAUAUAAAAAAUAAACAUCAAAUAAUAAUGUUAUGCCAAAAUUCGAUUUUUAUUUAAUUUUUGUUUGAGGGUCCGGCCCCCAAAGUGACUGUCCGGUAAAAUUCUGGCCCUCUGGCAAAUAUAGUUGGUGACCCCUGGUGGUGGAACGGCUGGAGAAAAGUGUCAGGUGUGAUGUGUGAUAGAAGAGUUUCAGCUAAAAUGAAAGGAAAGGUUUACAAAACUAUUAAUUCAAAUGGAUUGGAUAGUAUAGUUCAAUUAUCUAUCUCUGUUACAGAGAAUAGAGCACGUGUUUGCUGCAAACAGCCACGUCAUUGCCACAUGGUUUCCACCAUCAUCCACAAACCCCAUGGAUCACCUGCCGGACAAUGCAGCCAGUCUCCAGUGGGUUCUGCUUCCAGUAUUUGUACCUGGACACUGAAUACUCUAUGCACAUUGCUCACAGCCUAUCUCCUGGCCCUUGGAGGCAGCUUGGUGUGAAUGAUGUUCAGGAAAACAUGCUGCAGAUUUGAAGAUGGUGGUGUCUUGUUCUCCUGCAGAACUUCCCCAUGCCAUCUGAAGAAGAGAGAUUGCAGCAAAGAAAAAGGCAACGAGAGCAGAAAAAACUACAGGAUGUGGCUGAAGUCCCCCUGAAAAAGUUUGGGCUUUGGGAAUCUGCCCCUGAAGCAUCAGGUAUUGUUCCAGCCUGCAUUGUCUCACACAUAUCCAUUGAGGUUGUUGAGGUUUGAUGUCACAGAGCAGUCAUUAUUUCUCUGUGUACUUAAAAUCAACCACUUAAAUCUUGCGUUUUCAUUGUGCCUGUAGACACCACAAUCUGUUUCCUUUCUAGAUGAGGCUGAGAACAGGACUGGGAACAGGAAACGGGGUAUAUUGCCUGAGAUGGGUAGUCUCAUUUCAGUGUUUUCUGCAAUCUCCGAGCCUUUACUUAAAUAACUGUUUUCUUUAUUUUUGUUUAGGAGAAUCCUUUGGUCAGGGAUGCAAUGGCAGCAGCCCGGUGGUGUGGGACCAGACCUUUCAAGGGAAAAAUUUCCCUUCCCCAAGUUGUCACCAUGGCCAAGGAGCAACGCGUGAGGGCAGUGGAACUCCUGUGUGACUGUGAUGGCCAGGAAGAAGAGGAGACCGCUGAUCUCAGAGAACCGUUCCUUUUUCUUUUUAGUCUGCAGGAAGACUGAGACAUUCUGUCAAGAAAUCAUUGACAGGAGAAACAUGAAGGUGUUUUGUGCUUUUGACAGAAAAGAAUAAAGUUGUGUUCAACGGUG